AAUCAACGCUGGCGGCGUGCCUAACACAUGCAAGUCGAACGCGAGAGGGGGCUUCGGCCCCGAUUGAGUGGCGAACGGGUGAGUAACACGUGGGUAACCUGCCCAGAGGUGGGGGAUAACCCUUCGAAAGGAGGGCUAAUACCGCAUGAUAUCUCGGGACCUUCGGAUCUCGAGAUACAAAGCUGGCCUAUGCUUGCAAGCUAGCGCCACUGGAGGGGCCCGCGCCCCAUUAGCUAGUUGGUGAGGUAACGGCUCACCAAGGCGACGAUGGGUAGCCGGCCUGAGAGGGCGAUCGGCCACACUGGAACUGAGACACGGUCCAGACUCCUACGGGAGGCAGCAGUGAGGAAUCUUGCGCAAUGGGCGAAAGCCUGACGCAGCGACGCCGCGUGGAGGAUGAA
rnacentral:rRNA from 1 species